rnacentral:rRNA from 1 species
CAGAGGGUGCAAGCGUUGUUCGGAAUUAUUGGGCGUAAAGCGCGUGUAGGCGGCUUAGCAAGUCGGGCGUGAAAGCCCUCGGCUCAACCGAGGAAGUGCACCCGAAACUGCUGAGCUUGAGUGCCGGAGAGGAUGGCGGAAUUCCCCAAGUAGAGGUGAAAUUCGUAGAUAUGGGGAGGAACACCGGUGGCGAAGGCGGCCAUCUGGACGGUAACUGACGCUGAGACGCGAAAGCGUGGGGAGCAAACAGGAUUAGAUACCCUGGUAGUCCACGCCGUAAACGAUGAGAACUAGAUGUCGCGGGUGUUGACCCCUGCGGUGUCGCAGCUAACGCAUUAAGUUCUCCGCCUGGGAAGUACGGUCGCAAGAUUUA